rnacentral:lncRNA from 1 species
CAAGGCUGCUCAAGAACAGGAGCUAAUCUAUUGGGUAAUUAUGAUAAGAUAAAAUAAGUAAAUUCUACGCGACUCUAAUUAGAGAGGUGAUUGGGAAAGGAAAAUACACUCCAAAUUAAUGCCUGGUGGGAAAACCAAAGGGACCCCAGCAGAAGCAGUACAGCAGAGAAGACGGGGCAUCAACUAUUACUGAGCCGGCGCCCAGUGCAAAUUCUUUUCCCACAGCGCUGCCACACAAGCUUCCUGCCUUUCUGAAAUACAUGGUCUUUCUCUGGAUAAAGAUGACUUCCACUGCACUGAUACUCUACACAAUCCUGGGCCACAUUUUUCGUGAGCCAUGACAGUCAUUGGUGCUUUGUUUUCUCUGCUCCCUAUACUUACGGCCCCACUUUCUUCUCGCUCUGGAUUCCUAAGGACCAAGGGAAAGUUAAAACCUUCUGUGAAACACAGAAUUUGGCACAUCUUAAAUUCAAAUUAGGGAAUAACUGAAUGGUUGAAAAGGGAACUCUCAACCCUCAUCUCACCUCAAGUAUUUAUACCAAGCCUUAAGGUUAAUAGGUAAAAACUAAGGAUAGAAUUUCUGGCACUGAUCCGCAAGUGGAGGACUUCUUUGGAUAGAAGACAAUCCCAAAUCAGUCAGAGUGGAUCAGAGCCUCCCAUGGGUGAGAGCCAUGAUGAUGGAGCUGUGUGGAGCCAGACCGAAUAUAGCACCAUAUGCAUUGCAGCAGAACCGACUUUUCCUGUCAUUAACGAUGAGAAAAUGGCACCUUUGACAACCACCUUGGCUGGCCCACUUUGGAAUCAAAUGGGAUCUGGAUGGAAGAAGGAUGGCCGGGACCUCAACAUCCUGGACAAGUCACCCUGACAAACAACGGCACUGUUUUUGGAUUUCCCAGGAGGCGGAAGAGUGCCCUCUGAGAUUUAUAAACACAUCCAUAAUAAAUGGGAGGCUGGAGUUUAAACUGUUAUGGAGGCUCCUCUGCUGUGCCGCCGAGGUCUCGUGUGAUUUAGAGAGGUGACAUUUACUGUGUGCAGACCUAUUAUUCAGAGUGACUGUUUGUGUAUAGACAAUAUUUUAAAAUGGCUUGCUGUAGAUGAAAAAUUCUUAUUAAGUCAGAAAAACAGUUUAAGUAGGUAACACUCUCUCAGUUUAGUCUGCUAUAAGUCUUACUGUCUUGCCACAUGGAAAGUGCUUGGGGUGGGAGGCAGUGACACCUCCCAGGUGCUGGCUAAAAUACUACCUGCAGAGCGAACAGGAUACGGGCUUCAGCUGGGACCACAAAACUAAUUGUACAGCUGAAGUGAAACCGGUAGGCAUUUCUGCAGGUGUCAUCACUAUGGCCCAACCAAGAGAAUGCGGGAGGCCCAGCGCCCAUAGACUAGAGACAGAAGUAGGUUUUUCCACUAAGUAGUAGUGUGAUCUCACAGAUGUCUCUUAACCUCCCAGAGCCUCAGUUUCCCUAAUCUGCAAAAUUUGGGAAUUGGAUGAGGUGCCUUCUAAAACCCCUGUGGGACCUAUUUUGUGUAGCCUAGUCUUAGGGAAGCAUGCCUCUGAGCCCCCAAUGGCUGUGUAGCCCUUUACAGUCACCCAGAACAUUCCCUUAGCUUCCCGUUUCCCCCAUUUAAAUCCCAUGGUAGUCCUGAGAAAGAGACAGAGAAAUGAUUAUUGUACCACUUCUUCAAAUAAGGAGAGAGGCUCAUGGGAAUUAGGUGUCACGUCCAAGAUCUUAUGGCUGGAAGGAACCUAAACCCCACAUCUUACCCUUAGUCUCAGACACUGUCUCAACACAUUUCUCAUAUCCCUACCUGCCCUAAGAGCUCUGUAAUUUGUUACAAAUAGCUCACGGGGAGAAGAUAAUUGCCAAAACAUAGAUAUGAACAGAGGGCAGGAAGAGGACAAACAUGGCCAGUUCUCAGGAGGCUCAUGGUCUUCUAGGAGAGACAGCACAUCUCUGCCUAACCACACUCUACCCGUUUUUAGAGUCCAAACUCCAUUUUCUCCUUCCUCAGGAAGCCUGUUUUGUUCCACUUCUAUUCCAGCCCUGAAAUAUCCUUCCUUCGACACCGCUGGUUGACCUCCAUUUUCAAGACAGGUGCAAUAAGCACGUUCUUUUCUCCUCCUUCUUGUGUUAGCAUGUGUGUACCUCACUUUUCUAACUUAUUAAUAACCUUUGUGUCAGCAAGGUUUGUGAAUCCUACUAGUAGUUAACUCAUUCAUGGGGAGGAAUCAGUUACGUGAUUCAGCCAUCAACAAAGACACUUACGCUACCCUAGAUAAGGGUAGUACCGACAUAGACGCUACACUGCUCUGCUCCUCACAGCUUUAACCUCACUAGGAAGGGACAUCACAGCCUUUUUCAUCUAGUAGAGCUACAGUCUUGUCUCCUUUAUCACUAUGUUGUCACCUCCGUUAUUCUUCACCAUAGUACUUAUUACUCUAAGAACUUGAACGUUUAUUGUCCCGUCUCCCAACUUAGAGUGUAAUCUCCAUGAUCACAGGGUUUCAUCUGACUUUUUCAUUGCUCUAUCUUCACACCAUGAACAACGCACAUCAUAGGUGCUCAAUAAAUAUCCACGGAAUGAAUGGAUGCCUGCACGCAUUUCAGGCUUUGUGACCAUAGCGUGUGAUCUCCAAUGUAUA